rnacentral:sRNA from 1 species
UAAAGCAUCAGCUGUUGCGUUGCCGGCCU